rnacentral:rRNA from 1 species
ACCAGUACCGUGAGGGAAAGGUGAAAAGCACCCCGACGAGGGGAGUGAAACAGUUUCUGAAACCGGACGCCUACAAUCAGUCGGAGGCCCCUUGAGGGCUGACGGCGUACCUUUUGUAUAAUGGGUCAUCGACUUAGUGUAUCUAGCAAGCUUAAGCCGUUAGGUGUAGGCGCAGCGAAAGCGAGUCUUAAUAGGGCGAUUGAGUUAGAUGCAUUAGACCCGAAACCGAGUGAUCUAGGCAUGGCCAGGUUGAAGGUAAGGUAACACUUACUGGAGGACCGAACCCACAUCCGUUGAAAAGGAUCGGGAUGAGCUGUGCCUAGGGGUGAAAGGCCAAUCAAACUCGGAGAUAGCUGGUUCUCCGCGAAAUCUAUUUAGGUAGAGCGUCAUCCGAAUACCCCGGGGGGUAGAGCACUGGAUGGGUAAUGGGGCCCCACAGGCUUACUGAUCCUAACCAAACUCCGAAUACCCGGGAGUAAUAGAUGGCAGACACACUGCGGGUGCUAACGCCCGUAGUGAAAAGGGAAACAACCCUGACCGACAGUUAAGGCCCCUAAUUCAUGGCUAAGUGGAAAAGCAGGUGAGACGACCAUAACAACCAGGAAGUUGGCUUAGAAGCAGCCAUCUUUUAAAGAUAGCGUAACAGCUCACUGGUCUAAUUAAGUUGUCUUGCGGCGAAAAUGUAACGGGGCUCAAGCCAUGAGCCGAAACUUCGGAUGCAUUUAUGCAUGGUAGCGGAGCGUAGUGUGACAUAGUUCCAUGCGUCUUUAACUUCCUUCGGGGAGUAUUGGACGCAAGGAGCUUUCUGUGAAGCCGGCCUGUGAGGGAUCCGGUGGAGAGAUCACUAGUGAGAAUGAUGACAUGAGUAACGACAAAGGGGGUGAGAGACCCCCUCGCCGAAAAUCCAAGGGUUCCUGCUUAAAGCUAAUCUGAGCAGGGUGAGCCGGCCCCUAAGCCGAGGGCGAAAGCCGUAGGCGAUGGGAACCAGGUUAAUAUUCCUGGGCCAGGAGGAAGUGACGGAUCAUGAAGAUUGUUGGAUCAGGCGUAGUUGCCCCAGCAGUUAAUUGGUUCCUGGAAAUAGCCCUCCAUCAGACCGUACCCUAAACCGACACAGGUGGAUAGGUAGAGUAUACCAAGGCGCUUGAGAGAACUAUGUUGAAGGAACUCGGCAAAAUACCUCCGUAAGUUCGCGAGAAGGAGGCCCGGUUUCUAGGCAACUGGAAGCUGGGGGCACAAACCAGGGGGUGGCGACUGUUUACUAAAAACACAGGGCUCUGCGAAGUCGUAAGACGACGUAUAGGGUCUGACGCCUGCCCGGUGCCUGAAGGUUAAAAGGAGGGGUGAGAGCUCCGAAUUGAAGCCCAGGUAAACGGCGGCCGUAACUAUAACGGUCCUAAGGUAGCGAAAUUCCUUGUCGGGUAAGUUCCGACCUGCACGAAUGGCGUAACGACUUCCCCGCUGUCUCCAACAUAGACUCAGUGAAAUUGAAUUGCCUGUCAAGAUGCAGGCUUCCCGCGGUUAGACGGAAAGACCCCGUGCACCUUUACUACAACUUUACACUGAUAACAGGCACAAUAUGUGCAGAAUAGGUGGUAGGCUUUGAAGCAGGGACGCCAGUCCUUGUGGAGCCUCCUUUGAGAUACCACCCUUAUUUUUCUUGUUAUCUAACUGCGGUCCGUUAUCCGGAUCCAGGACCCUGUAUGGUGGGUAGUUUGACUGGGGCGGUCGCCUCCUAAAGCGUAACGGAGGCGCGCGAAGGUUGGCUCAGAGCGGUCGGAAAUCGCUCGUUGAGUGCAAUGGCAGAAGCCAGCCUGACUGCGAGACUGACAAGUCGAGCAGAGUCGAAAGACGGCCAUAGUGAUCCGGUGGUCCCGAGUGGAAGGGCCAUCGCUCAACGGAUAAAAGGUACGCCGGGGAUAACAGGCUGAUGGUGCCCAAGAGUCCAUAUCGACGGCACCGUUUGGCACCUCGAUGUCGGCUCAUCUCAUCCUGGGGCUGGAGCAGGUCCCAAGGGUACGGCUGUUCGCCGUUUAAAGAGGUACGUGAGCUGGGUUUAGAACGUCGUGAGACAGUUCGGUCCCUAUCUGCCGUGGGUGUAGGAUACUUGAGAGGAGUUGCCCCUAGUACGAGAGGACCGGGGUGAACGAUCCACUGGUGGACC